rnacentral:lncRNA from 1 species
GUGUCAGAGCAGCUUUACAGUGUCAAACAGGAAAAUAGUUUGACAAUAAUGCAAGAGGACAACAACAAAGAGUCAUUUUUUUGUCAGUUCAUUGAUGAUUCGGUGAUGUCAUCAUCUAAUUCAGCUCUCUUACAAUAAUGUCUGUGCAAUCAGUCAAGUGUCCCUAACUAAGCAAGGCAAAGGCAACAGUGGCAAGAAACCAAAACUCCACUGGUGACAGAAAUGGAGAAAAAUACCUUGUGAGAAACCAGGGUCAGUUUGGGGACCAGUUCUCUUCAGGCCAGACAAAACCAGCAUGGCAUGGUUUAAUUCCAGGCUGCAACACACAUUAGAUUGUUUAGAGGACUUGUCUGGUUGCCGUGGUCUUGUGCCGAUGGUCGUCAAGGUGAUGAGGACAACCAGCCCUGCUGGCUUUAGGAUACUUCCUGGGAGGAAUUCCUGGCAGUGGAUACUUCAUCCAGCAAUCGCCAAAGGGUUAUCUGUUCUCACGGUCGGUGAUGGUGUGACAGACGCAUCUCUCAUGCUCUGAUCUUCCCGAGGGGGAGCCACUGAGGAUUAGCUGGCGGAUGAUGCAUCAGGGGGAGGAGGAAAGGCCGUGUUUAUCUGCUGUCCCUGUGUCACAGAGAGCUUCUGAGGAGCAUUCAGCUGCCAACGGCAUCAGCGGGCCUCAGUCAUCCAGCUGUUCACCUCACUGCCACAGCUAAAGUGAUGAGUCCCAGCCUUCCUUUUCAGGUAGAUAGCACAGUUUCCUCGCUCUAAUUGCCCGCUAGCCCAAUUCCCUAGUUUGGGCUAAACCUUCUUGGAGUCUGUAAUAGGUGGAAGUACAGUGUUACGUGAGAGGUCUCUGCCAAGCUGCAUUUCAUCCUUUCCCUGUGCAGCUAGAACUAAUGAAGAGAAAUAGCUGCCAUUGUUGGUCCCCGUGCUCACUGCAUGUCACUUAGAGGAGAAAUCUAUUCAUUCAAUUAUAAGAGCUGUCUGACAAUGUGGCUCAGCAGAGGUUUCUCAUUGUGUAAAGUAUGAUCAGUAUUUUAAAAAGCAUUUUACAAGUACAACUGAGGGUUUUACCAGUAUAAUAUAGCUUCUUACCCAUGUGCUGUAGUGCAAUGUAGAGAGUCAGGGUUUGGCAGGGUAGCCUGGCUUUUUUUUUUUUUUUGGUGCCAUCCACUGAUCAGUCAUAGUGUCAUUUUAGUUUGGGACAUAUACCGUAAUUAGGUGAAGAACCAAGCGCCUUCAAGCUGACAUGACAGCUAGCCUUAUUAUUAUUAUUAUUAUUAUUAUUAUUAUUAUUUACCAAAGCUAUUUUCAGUGGUCAGUCAUGAGUUCAUUAUUCUGUGAAGGAAAUUGGAGGUCAAUAAGAUAAACUGUGUAGCAUUCAGCUGGUUCUGAGAUCUCAAUAAACCCCCCAUAGAAAUGUUUUAAUUAGGAAAAAAGGUACUGGGUUGUUUUUGGUUUUGUUUUGUUUAGUUUUUCUUCAUUUUUUGAUGCCAGCUUGCUAAUACAGUUCAGGUAGAGACUUAUUAUCAAGUUGUAUGCUUCUGUGAUUUUAUGGACAAAUAAAGCAGGCAGAAAUGACAGCUGGUGUUCAAAGGUUUGCUUGGCUUGUCAAAUACAAGCCAAUUGGACGCAUUACUUUAUGGAAAUUCAAGCAAGGGGAAGGUGCCUGCGAUACCAUAAACAGGAUUAGGAGCUUUUGUUUCCUUUGCUGUCAGAGCCAGUGGUGUCCUGUAGAGAGAGAUCUAAUUGAACGUGUCCGGCUGAGGCUGCAUUAGACCUGUUACAGACUGUUCUUUAGUGUCUGUUGUGGGAGUUGUAAUCAAACAUUAAUUAGUAGGCCCACCUGUUUACAGACAGAUCAGCUAAGAUGCCCUUUUACCAUGUGAAGAUUUGGGGAUGAUCAGUAUUCCUUGCUGUGUUCAAGCUUUUCAGGCACAGUGGUCACUAUUCUGUUCAAACAUGAGCCAAAUGUACCAAAGACAAAAAUGUGACUGUGAUACAACUGAUGUUAUAUUAAUAAUAAUAAUAAUAAUAAUAAUAAUAAUAAUAAUAAUAAUAAUAAUAAUAAUAGCUUGAAUAGAAAACCUUAAAUAAUUAUGUGUAAUCAUAUUAAAAUGUUACUGUAAAUAUGUGAAAUAAAUAAAUGUAUAAACUUACGUAUAAAUGCAGAAAGCAACUUAAAACAGGAAAUCACCGAAGGGGACUCAUAUGUUUCUUAAUAUCAGAUGCCAUUCUAUUAAAGAAAUUCUAUUAAAAAUUAUUUUAAAAACAUAUUAUGCAGAACAGUUCAAUUAUUAUUAAUAAUUAAAUAUUAUAUAAUUUGAAAAUAUUUAGCAGAUAUUGUUCAUGAAUUCCCAUUUUGAGGUCAGUUAGUACUAGGUUUAUACAGGUCCUUCUAAAAAAAUUAGCGUAUUGUGAUAAAGUUCAUUAUUUUCCAUAAUGUAAUGCUAAAAAUUAAACUUUCAUAUAUUUUAGAUUCAUUGCACCCAAACUAAAAUAUUUCAGGUCUUUUAUUGUUUUAAUACUGAUGAUUUUGGCAUACAGUGUCACGUGGGGGGGGGGGGGGUGUAAGGGAUGAACUCAAUCGCAGACAGGAUGCACAACACACAGGAUUUAUUAUCAACAAAAAGGGGAAAACAAUGACUAGGGCAAGGACAGAUAAUCUAACAAGACUAGGUAGACAUGAUAAACAAAAAGACUCUUAACACAAGAACUCUAACUACAAGUAAACAAUCACAAGACUCACAACGUAUCUUCAAACUGUCACAAUAAGUAGCAAAGUGUAACAAUAACAAUGAACCGCCCAGGAUAGUGAACACAAGGGGAUAUAAGUAGGGAGACUAAUCAUAACACAACAGGUGACACAGGUAAAGCAAUAAUGACCAAGAUUAAGAUAACAAGGGGGCUGGGCAAGGGAAACGAGACAACACAAGCACAUGGCCCAAAGACAAGGCCAUGUGCUUGUACACAAAACACGGGCCUGUCAUGAUCCUGCCUCAAGACUAGAGGAAAAUCAGGACAUGAAGGCAAAAUCAUGACAUACAGCUCAUGAAAACCCAAAAAUCCUAUCUCAAAAAAUUUGCAUAUCAUGAAAAGGUUCUCUAAACGAGCUAUUAACCUAAUCAUCUGAAUCAACUAAUUAACUCUAAACACCUGCAAAAGAUUCCUGAGGCUUUUAAAAACUCCCAGCCUGGUUCAUUACUCAAAACCGGAAUCAUGCUUAAGACUGCCGACCUGACUGCUGUCCAGAAGGCCAUCAUUGACACCCUCAAGCGAGAGGGUAAGACACAGAAAGAAAUUUCUGAACGAAUAGGCUGUUCCCAGAGUGCUGUAUCAAGGCACCUCAGUGGGAAGUCUGUGGGAAGGAAAAAGUGUGGCAAAAAAACGCUGCACAACGAGAAGAGGUGACUGGACCCUUAAGGAAGAUUGUGGAGAAGGACCGAUUCCAGACCUUGGGGGACCUGCGGAGGCAGUGGACUGAGUCUGGAGUAGAAACAUCCAGAGCAACCGUGCACAGGCGUGUGCAGGAAAGGGGCUACAGAGAAGCAGCACUGGACUGUUGCUCAGUGGUCCAAAGUACUUUUUU